CCGCCGGGCGCAGCCCAGCAGCAGCAGCAGGAGGGGGAGGAGGAGGAGUGGGGCGCGGGCCAUGCCGAGCGGCGCCCCGCCGGGCGCCCCUAAGGCCCCGCCGCCCGCCCGCUCCCGCAGCGCCCCGCCGCGCCCCCCCGCCCGGCGGGGAGGGGCCCUCUGCCGCCGCGCCUCCUUCCGCCCCCCGCCGGCCCUGGGUGCAGCGGGGUCCCGGCCGCCCGCCGCGGCCUCCGCCGGAGGAGGGCGCCAGGCCUGUGCGGCAGCGCGGCCGGCUCGCAGGGGCGAAACGCCGGCCCCUGCGCUGCCGCCGGCAGCCGCCUGCCAGAGGGGUCUGGGCUGGGCGGUCGGGAUGGCUCUGAGGGGGGGGGCCGGGCGGGGCCCUUCGCCCCCGCCUGAGGUGGCAAGAGGAGGCUUCGCCGGGCCGGGCCUGGCACCCGCCCCGUGGCGGCGCGCGCUGUUUCCACAGGAGAAACGCCGCCGUCCCCAGCAGGUCACGGCGCCCCGUGUUCCCUGGGAGGGCUUUUCCAACCCCCUCCCGGCAGGAACCGGGAGGGCAGCGGGCGGCCAGCUCCCGCGGCACGGCCGCCCUGGCCGAGCAGGGCCCCGGCGGUGCCCGUGCUGUCGGGUAAUACACAAACCCCAGGGCUCUCUUACUGGGAAGACCUUUGCUGGAUGCUUGACAGGUGAGCUAAAGUGGAACCAUGUGGAGAUUUUUUAAAUUUUUGUAAUGGAAGCUCUGCUUUAAGAUACGUGGCAUCUUUCAGAACAUAAUAAUAUUGGGCUUCAGGUCAAAGAUAACUGUAAGGAAGAACAGGAAAUGCAAAGAAAACCGAGAAACUUCCAGAUCAACAGGCAGAGCAGGAAGGUACAUGUGUCAAAGAAUUUUGGUCAUGGCUAAGAAAAAGAAAGGACUUCCUAUGGAAUUGUCUAGGGCUCUUUUCCUGUAUGUUGCACCGCAGCAGAUUUGCAGCAUGGCUGCUGGUCAUCACUGGAUUCAAGUACGGAUUCUGACCCCCCGUCUGACUGCCUCCAGGCGAGAUGCUCUGCACCUGUGCUUUUGCUUACUAAGAUCUAUGUGUAGGAAGAAUGUUGAAACAUGAAAAAUAUAUAUGGAUGGACUUUGCAAAAAAACAGGAGAGAAAAGUUAGUCCUCAAAUGUGAUUUAUCAGCUUUGGCUGUGUCAACUGAAAAAAUAGAGCUGAAGUUUAAAGUCCUCGUGAAGAAAUCCUGGCCGUAGUAAAGUCAGCGGGGAUGUUGUUGGGCCACAAUUUAAUCCAACAAAGCCCCUUUUAACAGUUGUAUAAUCUUAGUAAAUUCUUCCUGUUCUUCUCAGGUCAGUAGAACCCAAACUGUGAGGCAGAUCCGGCUUGGCACAACUGCCGUAUUGUACUAGGUGAUUCUCCUGAACGGGAACAGAAGGUGCUGAUUUUUAUCUAAGGGUUUCUCCAAAAGACCUGGGGCGUGCUGAACCGGUGCUAAACCGAACGCGCUUUCUGGGACACUUCUGCCAGAAGAGAUUUCACAGUGGACCUUCAGGUGGGACGAUAUACCAUGCUGCCACGUGAGAAGGCUGUAAUCUCAUUUCUCAGAAAAGGGAGUCAGGGAAAAUUGCAGCACCCUUCUGUGGUCAACCAUACUUGCAAAUUGGGUUUAGGAUAGGAUCAUGAAUACCAUAUUUUCCAGAAGCCUGUUAGCAUAAACCCCAGAUGAAAUCAGUGCAUGAAAGAGAAAUAGCAAGCUUCAAAUGUUCAAGCGAGGCCAAAACAAAUGUAUAAAACACAAAUACUAUGAAAGAAAACACUUAAAAAAAAAUCAACUGGCUUUGCUUUUAUAACAAUAAACUGCUUUUUGACUG